AGACGAAUUUUCAGCGGCUGGGAU
rnacentral:siRNA from 1 species